rnacentral:rRNA from 1 species
GAUGGACGCUGGCGGCGUGCCUAAUACAUGCAAGUCGAGCGAACAGACGAGGAGCUUGCUCCUCUGACGUUAGCGGCGGACGGGUGAGUAACACGUGGAUAACCUACCUAUAAGACUGGGAUAACUUCGGGAAACCGGAGCUAAUACCGGAUAAUAUAUUGAACCGCAUGGUUCAAUAGUGAAAGACGGUUUUGCUGUCACUUAUAGAUGGAUCCGCGCCGCAUUAGCUAGUUGGUAAGGUAACGGCUUACCAAGGCAACGAUGCGUAGCCGACCUGAGAGGGUGAUCGGCCACCCUGGAACUGAGACACGGUCCAGACUCCUACGGGAGGCAGCAGUAGGGAAUCUUCCGCAAUGGGCGAAAGCCUGACGGAGCAACGCCGCGUGAGUGAUGAAGGUCUUCGGAUCGUAAAACUCUGUUAUUAGGGAAGAACAAAUGUGUAAGUACCUAUGCACGUCUUGACGGUACCUAAUCAGAAAGCCACGGCUAACUACGUG